UUCCGGUUGAUCCUGCCGGACUGACUGCUAUCGGAUUGAUACUAAGCCAUGCGAGUCAUUGUAGUAAUACAAGGCAGACGGCUCAGUAACGCGUAGUCAACCUAACCUAUGGACGGGAAUAACCUCGGGAAACUGAGUAUAUUGCCCGAUAGAACAUUAUACCUGGAAUGGUUUAUGUUCCAAAUGAUUUAUCGCCGUAGGAUGGGACUGCGGCCUAUCAGUUUGUUGGUGAGGUAAUGGCCCACCAAGACUAUUACAGGUACGGGCUCUGAGAGGAGUAGCCCGGAGAUGGGUACUGAGACACGGACCCAGGCCCUAUGGGGCGCAGCAGGCGAGAAAACUUUGCAAUGUGCGAAAGCACGACAAGGUUAAUCCGAGUGGUUUCUGCUAAAGGAACCUUUUGUCGGUCCUAGAAACACCGAUGAAUAAGGGGUGGGCAAGUUCUGGUGUCAGCCGCCGCGGUAAAACCAGCACCUCAAGUGGUCAGGAUGAUUAUUGGGCCUAAAGCAUCCGUAGCCGGCUCUGUUAGUUUUCGGUUAAAUCUGUACGCUCAACGUACAGGCUGCCGGGAAUACUGCAGAGCUAGGGAGUGGGAGAGGUAGACGGUACUCGGUAGGAAGGGGUAAAAUCCUUUGAUCUAUUGAUGACCACCUGUGGCGAAGGCGGUCUACCAGAACACGUCCGACGGUGAGGGAUGAAAGCUGGGGGAGCAAACCGGAUUAGAUACCCGGGUAGUCCCAGCUGUAAACUAUGCAAACUCAGUGAUGCAUUGGCUUGUGGCCAAUGCAGUGCUGCAGGGAAGCCGUUAAGUUUGCCGCCUGGGAAGUACGUACGCAAGUAUGAAACUUAAAGGAAUUGGCGGGGGAGCACCACAAGGGGUGAAGCCUGCGGUUCAAUUGGAGUCAACGCCGGA
rnacentral:rRNA from 1 species